CAAUUAAGUUCUGAAGAUGAACAAACGGAAUACCGAAACUGGCCCACCAGGUCACCUGCCAGAGACUCUUGUAUAGAAGAUGACGUGCAUUACAUUGAUAUCCGCUGCGUGCCUCAAGACUCUUCAGCUUCCGCUGCUGAUAAUUACUCAGUCACAUAUUCUACAGUGAAGUGUUCGAAUAUUAUUGAGAAGACAUGUAAGGAUCCUCAAGAAGAACUGACUGGAUCAUCUCCCAACAUCUAUGAGAAUUUCAGUUCACACUAGCUUCAAACAAACUGUACAUUGAAUAAUUGAUCUAAAUUAAUCAUGCAAUCAUUUUACUCCAAGUGACUUAAAGGAAAA